rnacentral:lncRNA from 1 species
GUUCAAUCAGUCGCGCAGAAGAUCGGAAGACGUUUGCUUUGCUGAAGGCCAUUUUAAAUGCUACAAAUAUUAGCAACGGCAGCUGAUGCAGCAGGCUAUGAAUUCAAUUCGGCACGGUAUAAGAGCACGCCGAAGCCAAGUCGCGCUACACGGCAUGCAAACUUUAUUCAUUCCCCCCCGGGGUGGGGGUGGGGAGACUCGUAUAAAAAUAACGGGGGUGCUCGUCGUACAUCUGAGGGGUUAAUCUUCAAAAGGCUAAGUAAUUGAAGACACCAACAACGACAAAAAAACACUGUUAGAAAUAUAUCGAGUAGACCGUUCUAUAAAGAGACUUUUCAAUUUUCGUCAAUUAUGCAAAUAAGUUCACCUAGCCUAAAAAACGUUUGUGUUUGCUGGCGCGCGUUCUUACUGCCCAGAUUUUUUGUUCCAAAUACUGAUUAUAUAUAUUGGUUAAACUAAAACGCCUUUUAAGCCCGUAAAAUUACGCAAUUUUUUCUGUUUCCAUAGGGGCUUGAAUUCUUCGACAGUCCACGGAACCUCUCAAAAUUUAAUUUAAUAUAAGGCUUUUAAUAUGCUUAGUUUAUCCGGUGUUCUAGUCUUGUAAAUUGUUUCAAUGCGAAUACCGAGAACUUCGACUCAAGCGCGGCAGUAGCACGACGUUUGAAACCAUGCAUGCACUCAGUUCGGCAGGCUGAAUUAAAUUCGGCGCGACUACGUAUAGCACGGCAGGCCUAAUGCCGUUCCGUUCAGCGCGACUUGGCUUCAAACGGCAUGCUUUUGUUAUGCACGUGCCGAACUGAACCAGAGGGGCGGUGAAUAGUAAAUGCCAGACUGCACGAGACGGCGAGACCAGCGCUAUUCUUUGCGAGCUCGAGGCAUAUUGACUUUUUAGAUUGCGAAACCGAAAGCGAGCGAGAGGGGCUCAGACUCUUAAAAUUCAAGCUCCAGAUUUAGUUGAGAGCUAUAAGAAUGAGCGAAAAUGAGCUUGUACAGAAGUCUUACAAAGGUACCUUUUGUCGUAAAUACUUGUGCCUUUACACAGUUCCACAGGGAACAACAGAUAAGUUCUUCGACUUCGUGGGUUUCAUCAUGAGCUAUCGUGGAAUGUGUGUGGCUUUUUGAUGAGAACGGAGGAAGUGGGUAAAAAGGAUCACACCUUGAUUGGCAAACUUUUGGCCGCGUGAGUGGCCGUUUAUUAAAUCAAUAAAGUGUACAGCAUUUAUUUGCCAAUCAGUCAUCCCUAAGGAAGAGCUAACCCUUUAAACGACCUCGUUCCCAGCAAAGGCGAGGGUGAAAACCGCUGGCGAGGCCCAGAAUAAGACUGACUAUGUACCGGAGGAGACGGGGUGGAGGAGGGGAUGAAAUUCUAGCACGAUGCUUUCUUCAAUCGACGUAAAGGGAGAGAAAGCGCAUCGAGGCAUGUGACGUCAAAACCGUGCGUAGUCCCGGAAGCCCCUUAGGCGGAAGUGAGAACGGAGUCAAAACAAGCACCAUAAAAACCAUUUAUUUUACCGGGUAAAAUAAAUCUCCAUUUAGCCUUUUAGCCAGCCUUUGCGAACAAGCUGGAACUAGAAAUUCGACUAUAGCACACUACGUUAGGAUAUCCUAGAACAAAAUAACUGUUUUUUAAAAUGACGUUGCGGUAAGUUUUGCAGCCUUUUGUGGAAUUCAGACAAUUUGGCAGAAGUUAGCAUUAACAUUUUCUCGGAAAUUUGAAAGUAGCUUUAUUGAAAUUCAAUAUCAAGUGACGAGAAGAGGUCACUUAUUAAAACAAACAAACGAAUCGGAGCUUCGAAACUCUUAACCUUGCAAUUGCAAAAAGUCGAAACUCCGAGAGAGCUUCGUGUAAAAAUUGGGACUGCGAGACGCACAUAAAUGCUAAAAAACGAGACCGCGAGACCCGUGAAAUUCGACUAAAAUUGUGCGAGACCCAGAGUUUUUAAAGGACCAUUCGCCACCCCUAACCAGGGACGGCGGAGCUGGGGUAGGGGCUCAAGCCCCGCACCCUUCCCUCCACUUUUUACCACGAUGACAGUUUAUUUUGUUUUAGAAUGAGGUACAAAUGAAGAACUAAAGAAGAACAAAGAAAACGAAAACCUCGUACCAAAUCUGUAGGAAGGUUUUUCAUGUUUACAUAGUUUUAACCUUUCCGCAGCGUGCACUUCCUUCCCACACAUGGGGUGGCUUGUGUAAAAGCGCAGGUCAGUCAGUGCUAAGGCCGUGAUAUAUCAUGGAGGGCUGAGAAAGAUGUAUCAAGCUCACAAUACCUU